rnacentral:rRNA from 1 species
UACGUAGGGGGCAAGCGUUGUCCGGAUUCAUUGGGCGUAAAGAGCUCGUAGGCGGCUUGGCAAGUCGGGUGUGAAAACUUCAGGCUCAACCUGGAGCGGCCACUCGAUACUGCCAUGGCUAGAGUCCGGUAGGGGACCACGGAAUUCCUGGUGUAGCGGUGAAAUGCGCAGAUAUCAGGAGGAACACCGAUGGCGAAGGCAGAUCUCUGGGCCGUAACUGACGCUGAGGAGCGAAAGCAUGGGUAGCGAACAGG